GCACAUGAAGGCUGGGACUAUACCUCAAACCAACUCUAUUCCCUGAGACGAAAGAAAAAGGCUACAAUUUACAUAGAGCCAUGGCCUUCCCUGAACAUCUUGAAUAUUCUAAAUCACUGCAAAGUAGUUCUGUAAUGCCCAGAGACAAGACCUCACUUGCGGCGCGUCGUCGUGGCAACCGGCCGGCCCAUGUACGUCACUUCCUGCACUGUGGUGACGCAGAAACCGGAUGUGCCGAGCGGGGAAGUGCGGUGGACCGCGAUGCACGCUGCUGUGAGCGGGGGAAGGGGGAUCCUGAGGAUGGAAAUCAAAAUGAGGCUAUACGGAGGGUGCUCCAAAACAUGCGAGCCAACAUUGUUGCCCUCCUAGCCAAUGUGGACUAUUUAUUAUUAUAAAAAAAAAAAAAAAAUUGUGUUUUUUUAUUUUGGCUCUUUUCAUAUUUUAAUUUAAUUUUUUUUUUUACAAAUU